rnacentral:rRNA from 1 species
UACAGAGGUCCCAAGCGUUGUUCGGAUUCACUGGGCGUAAAGGGUGCGUAGGCGGCGCGUUAAGACAGGUGUGAAAGCCCCGAGCUUAACUUGGGAAUUGCGCUUGUGACUGGCGUGCUGGAGUGAGGCAGAGGGAGGUGGAAUUCCACGUGUAGCAGUGAAAUGCGUAGAGAUGUGGAGGAACACCGAUGGCGAAGGCAGCCUCCUGGGCCAGCACUGACGCUCAUGCACGAAAGCGUGGGGAGCAAACAGG